CUUUUUUCAAAAAUUGUGUGUCGACUACGGCACUUGCCGUGUCAGACACAAGUGUCCAUGUCGAUGCAUCAUAGGUGUUUAGAAACUAAUUUGUAAAUAAGUUUUUUCUUUCAAUAGAGCUUUCUAACUAGAAGAGGCAUUUUUAUAAAAUUAAUCAUUUGCAAAUGCAGCUUUUGGUUUUCGAAAAUUCCUUUUGACUCUCAUAAGUCAUUUCAAACGGGCCUUAUUAUCAGUUCUUAUGUUGUGUGGAUUAGUUUCAUGAAAAACUUCUGCCAAAAUUUCCUCCAUCUACAACAAGUAAUAGCUUGAUGUUAGAAUACAAUGUUGUAACACUUGUUACAAGUGUUGUUGAACCUACUUCGGUAUGUAAUUUGGACUUGAUGCCUGUGUUUAUAUGUUCAGCUUAAUAUUGACAUGAUGUGUAUGAUGCUAUGAUAGUCGUGUAUGCGGGAACCCCCAUGGAAUUAUUAGGAAGUAUGGGCUCAUGUGCUGCAGACAGUGCUUCCGUAGCAAUGCCAAGGAAAUUGGCUUUAUCAAGGUAAAUAGUUGAGGUUUUUUUAACCAUAAUAUGAACUAUUUAUAUAUACAUUUUAUAUUCUGAGCUAUAUUUUCAGGGAGACCAAUCAUGUGUUUCUGAAUUUUCUUGUUUAAAUUGAAUGUUUCCUUAGCAAUUAUUUGUUCUUAGUCGGAUUUAUAACAUUCUUCACUAUAGUGACAAUUUCCUGUGCAUUUAUGUUUUUGCAGUAUCGUUGAGCUGUGAAUAUCUGAAUUUCUGCCCGUGAAGGACGGCUUUUCUAAGUGGGUUGCAUUUCGAUCUCUACGGGCAUCCUUUUUAUAAUUUAUCUUUGCCUUUUUUUUUUAAGAAGGGUGUGGUAAGAGAGAUUAUUCUAGUUUUAGAUAGAACUCAAUUUGUUUCGG
rnacentral:lncRNA from 1 species